rnacentral:rRNA from 1 species
UGAACGCUGGCGGCGUGCUUACCACAUGCAAGUCGACCGGAAAGGCUCCUGCUUGCAGGGGUACUCGAGUGGCGAACGGGUGAGUAACACGUGGGUGAUCUGCCCUGCACUUCGGGAUAAGCCUGGGAAACUGGGUCUAAUACCGGAUAGGACCACAUUUUGGAUGGUGUGGUGGAAAGUUUUUCGGUGUGGGAUGAGCUCGCGGCCUAUCAGCUUGUUGGUGGGGUAAUGGCCUACCAAGGCGUCGACGGGUAGCCGGCCUGAGAGGGUGUACGGCCACAUUGGGACUGAGAUACGGCCCAGACUCCUACGGGAGGCAGCAGUGGGGAAUAUUGCACAAUGGGCGCAAGCCUGAUGCAGCGACGCCGCGUGGGGGAUGACGGCCUUCGGGUUGUAAACUCCUUUCGCUAGGGACGAAGCGUUUUUGUGACGGUACCUGGAGAAGAAGCACCGGCUAACUACGUG